AUGGAUGUCUCGUCGGGGGCCAUGAUCCCCUUGAUCAAGAAGCUCGGGAGCCUACUCGUGGAUGAGUACAACCUGGAGAAACGCGUGAAGAAAGGCGUCAAGUCUCUGAUCACAGAGCUAAAGAUGAUGCACGCUGUUCUACGAAAGAUCGGCGCCAAGCCACCGGAGCAGUUCGACGAGGAGGUCCUCAUCUGGGCGGGCAAAGUGAGGGAGCUCUCCUACCAUAUGGAGGACGCCGUCGACGCCUUCAUCGUGCGCGUGGAGGACGUGGGCCAUGACCAUGGCUCCACCAACAUGAAAAACAAAGUCAAGAAGUUCCUCAAAAGGGUCACCAAACUGUUUACCAAGGGUAAGGCUCUUCAUCAGAUCUCCGAUGACAUUGAAGAAGCUCAGCGGCUCGCCAAGGAGUUAGGCGACCUGUGCCAGAGGUAUAUGAUUGAGGCGCAGGCCAACAGUAGUGGCGAUGCCAUUGAUCCUCGCCUCAAGGCGGUGUAUAAAGAUGUCACGGAGCUCGUUGGGAUAGAUCAUGUAAGAGAUGAGCUGAUAAAGAAGUUGUGUGAUAGUAAUGAGAGGUCCAAGGAGCACUUAAGGACCAUUUCUAUUGUUGGAUUUGGCGGGUUGGGCAAGACAACUCUCGCCAAAGCAGUGUAUGACAAGAUCAAAGUGGAGUUUGAUAGUGUAGCUUUUGUUUCUGUGUCUCGGAAUCCUGACAUGACCAACAUUUUCAAGAAGCUCUUAUAUGAACUUGACAAGGGCAAGUAUGCAACCAUCAACGAAGCUACUAGGGACGAGGGACAACUCCUCGAUGAAUUGAGGAUAUUUCUUCAAGAUAGGAGGUAUCUCAUUGUAAUUGAUGACAUAUGUGAUGAAGAAGCAUGGGAAUUUAUCAAGUGUGCUUUCUCCGACAACUGUCUCGGUAGUCGAGUAAUGACUACCACACGCAUAGGCAGCAUCUCUAAAGCAUGUUGCUCUUCUGGUGAUGAUAUAAUAUAUCAGAUGAAACCUCUUACUGAUGAUGACUCCAAAAGACUCUUCUACAAAAGAAUAUUUCUUCAAGGAAGUAAAUGUCCAGAUGAAUUGGAGCAGGUAUGUAGAGAAAUUUUAAAGAAAUGUGGUGGAGUACCACUAGCCAUCAUUACAAUUGCUAGUAUUUUAGCUACUAAUCGUCAAGACCAACACAUAAAGCCAAAGUAUCAAUGGGAGAACAUACUUGUCUCUAUUGGUCGUGGACUUACCGAAGGGGGUAGUACGAAGGACAUGCAAAGAAUAUUGUCCUUUAGUUAUUACGAUUUACCUUCUCAUUUGAAGACUUGUUUAUUAUAUCUCAGUAUAUUUCCAGAGGAUUCUGAGAUAAGGAGAGACCGGUUGAUAUGGAUGUGGAUAGCCGAAGGGUUUGUGCAAGGUGGAAAACAAGAAACUACACUAUUUGAGCUCGGAGAGAGUUACUUCAAUGAGCUCGCAAAUAGAAAUUUGAUUCAACCGAUAUAUCUUGAUGUUGAAGGCAGGACGGGAGCUUGUCGUGUGCAUGAUAUGGUUCUCGACCUCUUAUGUUUCCUGUCCAGCGAAGAAAACUUUGUUACUAUAAUAGAUGGUACUCAGCAAAGCAAACCUAUUUCACAUUGCAAGAUUCACAGAUUAUCUUUCCAAAACAGCAUGUCAGAUCUCACCACCCAUCGGGUCAAUGCCACAAAUAUGUCACAAGUGAGGUCUGUUAUUCUCCUUAGAACUUAUAUUGAUCUGAUCCAGACUAUUUCACACUUUCAAGUUUUACGUGUAUUGGAUUUGGAAGGUUGUAAUCUUGGGAAAAAUCUCCACCAUACUGAUCUCAGGUAUAUCGAGAAUUUAUUGCACCUAAGGUAUCUGGGGCUAAGAAGAACUUUUGUUUCUGAGCUCCCUGUGGAAAUAGGAAAGCUAAAAUUUUUGCAGACACUCGACUUGGUAGAAAGUGGACCAGAGCCAGGAUCAAGUAUAGUGAUUCCACCAAGUGUUGUCCGUCUAAGACAUUUGAUUUGCCUACAUGCAUCCAAUGAGGUGUUACCCGUUGGGAUCGGGGACAUGGCGUCCUUAGAAGAGCUGACUGGAGUAUUGAUGGAUGGUCCUUCUGUGAUUAAUAAAGAGCUAGGGAAAUUGAUCAAGCUGAGAGUGCUCGACCUUAUUUGGAAUGGGCACGAUGAGAGCGUGUGUAAUUCUUUGGUAGUGUCCCUGGGGAAUCUGCGGAAAAUGCAAAGUCUAACUAUUUACAGCCACGGCAGUGCAAGGUUUGAUGUGAGCUGGGAUGACUUUGUGCCCACUCCAGAACUUCGUGCCAUUGAGUUUCAUCGAUGCACCACCACAUUGCCUAGGUGGGUCAAUUUGUCAUCAUUUCCCCUACUCUCGUCCAUGAAUAUUACAGUGAACAUGGUGCGGCCAGAAGUCGACUUUCAGAUCCUCGGGAAGCUUCCCGCUCUUCGUUCUCUCAUGCUAGGGGUCAACAAAGUUCAGCAUACUCGUGUCGAAAUGUUCGUCGUUGGCGCCAAUGCAUUCCCAUGUUUGAGAGUGUGCAAGUUCUUCCGUUUUCUCACGGGACCAUCUAUGUUUCCACGAGGAGCUAUGCCAAGGCUCGUAAUCCUGCGGUUCUCAGCCCGAGCGUUGGAUAUAGCUAGUGGUGACCAGGAUGUCAGCAUGGGGCACCUCCCUUCCCUCCAGCAAGUCACGGUUUACCUUUGGGUUGAGAAAGGCAGCUCUUCAGAUAAGUGUAAGAAGGAAGCGGAUGUUGUGCUGAGGCAUGCAGCGGACACCCACCCCAACCGUCCCAACCUUGAGACCUAG
rnacentral:rRNA from 1 species